UCGCCUAUUAAAGUGGUACGCGAGCUGGGUUCAGACCGGCGUGAGCCAGGUCGGUCCCUAUCUGCUGUGGGCGUAGCAACACUGCGAGGAGACAUCCUUAGUACGAGAGGAUUGGGAUGGACGUACCCCUGGUGUGCCAGUUGCACCGCUCGGUGCACAGCUGGGUAGCUAAGUACGGCAGGGAUAACCGCUGAAAGCAUCUAAGCGGGAAGCCCACCUCAAGAUGAGUGUUGCAUGUCCUCGUGACGAAAGACCCCCGGUAGACCACCGGGUUGAUAGGCCGCAUGUGCACGCGGAGAGAUCCGUUCAGCAAAGCGGUACUAACGGUCGACAGCUUGGCCGC
rnacentral:rRNA from 1 species